GCAUAUCAAUAAGCGGAGGAAAAGAAACUAACAAGGAUUCCCCUAGUAGCGGCGAGUGAAGCGGGAAGAGCUCAAAUUUAAAAUCUGGCAGGCUACGCUUGUCCGAAUUGUAAUCUCGAGAAGUGUUUUCCGCGUUGGCCUGUGUACAAGUCCCUUGGAACAGGGCGUCAUAGAGGGUGAGAAUCCCGUCCUUGACACAGACACCCAAUGCUUUGUGAUACACUCUCAAUGAGUCGAGUUGUUUGGGAAUGCAGCUCAAAAUGGGUGGUAAAUUCCAUCUAAAGCUAAAUACUGGCGAGAGACCGAUAGCGAACAAGUACCGUGAGGGAAAGAUGAAAAGCACUUUGGAAAGAGAGUCAAACAGUACGUGAAAUUGUUGAAAGGGAAACGAUUGAAGUCAGUCUUGCCUGCCUAGUCUCAGCCUUUUGGUGUACUACUAGGUCGGCAGGUCAGCAUCAGUUUGGGAGGAUUAACAAGGGAGCUAGGAAUGUGGCAACCUCGGUUGUGUUAUAGCCUAGUUUCGCAUUGAUCUUGCUGGACUGAGGAACGCAGUGCGCCCGCAAGGGUUGGUCUUCGGACACAUUCGCACUUAGGAUGCUGGCAUAAUGGCUUUAAACGACCCGUCUUGAAACACGGACC
rnacentral:rRNA from 1 species